rnacentral:lncRNA from 1 species
CAGAUCUUGAUGGAAAGAAGAGUCCAUGUGAAGAAUAACAUUAAGUGAAAAGGAAGAAUGUUCAAACAAGUUCACAAGAGAAAAAUUCUGAGACUUGUUUCAAAUCCAGACUUCUGUAUGGAUGAUCUUUCUGUCUUGGCUGUAAUUUCCAUAGGUGCUGAAUUUUUGCUGUGAUGUUCUGACUGGUGGAAGAUAUGUCUUCUAAAAUGAGGUUGCAAGAAAGGGAUGAAAUGAUUUAUCACAGGACUUCUAGGAAUUUAAGGACAGUUACUGCACAUGUUUCUUUAGCCUGGCACACUGUCUUUUGUGGAUCUUUCAGAUUCUUGACCCAAGAGUCUGUGCUGAACUGUUUGCUACCUACAACCAGAAGGGGCAUCCUGAAGACAGUCUGGGGCCAGAGCAUAUAUGUAUUCUACAAGGCAGAGGAAAGAAUUUAUAAGAAGCCACUUCUUCCCAGUUCCUCCACGUGGUCUUAAAAGGCUGGAUUUUUUGCAGUGCAUUCUAUAUGGUUGUUUGCUCUGUCUGUACUAUCAUACUUGGCUUGCUGAUAGUGAAGACAGAGACAUGGGAACAGGCUAAGAUGAGUGCCUGAGGAUAGGAAAUAUUACAGAUUUCAUCCUUCUUAAUGCUAAUUCUCUGGCUCUACAUUUUGGCAGAUCCAAAAAAGCUUGUAUUCUAAGACUUCUGAGUCUAAAAUAAAGGUAUUGAAGAACAGUGUU